UGGGGAAUUUUUGACAAUGGGCGCAAGCCUGAUCCAGCCAUGCUGCGUGCAGGAUGAAGGCCUUCGGGUUGUAAACUGCUUUUGUACGGAACGAAAAGACUCCUUCUAAUAAAGGGGGUCCAUGACGGUACCGUAAGAAUAAGCACCGGCUAACUACGUGCCAGCAGCCGCGGUAAUACGUAGGGUGCAAGCGUCAAUCGGAAUUACUGGGCGUAAAGCGUGCGCAGGCGGGUAUGCAAGUCAGAGGUGAAAUCCCCGGGCUCAACCUGGGAACUGCCUUUGUGACUGCAUAGCUAGAGUACGGUAGAGGGGGAUAGAAUUCCACGUGUAGCAGUGAAAUGCGUAGAUAUGCGGAGGAACACCGAUGGCGAAGGCAGUCCCCUGGACCUGUACUGACGCUCAUGCACGAAAGCGUGGGGAGCAAACA
rnacentral:rRNA from 1 species